rnacentral:rRNA from 1 species
GACGAACCGUGCGAACGUUGUUCGGAAUCACUGGGCUUAAAGGGCGCGUAGGCGGCUUUGCAAGUGGCGGGUGAAAUCCCUCGGCUUAACCGAGGAACUGCCUGUCAAACUGCAUGGCUUGAGACCAGGAGAGGUGAGUGGAAUUCCCAGUGUAGCGGUGAAAUGCGUAGAUAUUGGGAGGAACACCAGUGGCGAAGGCGGCUCACUGGACUGGUACUGACGCUGAUGCGCGACAGCGUGGGGAGCAAACAGG